UUAUUUCGAUCAUUGAUUUGUCUCUUUCUUGUCAUUCUCAGGAGAACCAAAUAUUCCACAUGAGACCACACCUACAUGCCUGUGUAUUACCUAGAAGCAGCAAAAUCUCCCAGUGAGGCAUUUGGAACUUCCUCGGUCCCAUGGAAGCCAGGACCUGGGACUCUCUCCAAGGGCUGGCAUCAGCUAAUCAGAGGAAGAUCCAAAUUCAGGAUCAAGGCCUGAGACUGCCACAUGAUGCUCAUUAGUAAAGCGACUUUAA
rnacentral:lncRNA from 1 species